CCUACGGGGGGCUGCAGUGGGGAAUAUUGGACAAUGGGCGAAAGCCUGAUCCAGCCAUGCCGCGUGUGUGAAGAAGGCCUUCGGGUUGUAAAGCACUUUCAGUGGGGAAGAAAGCCUUGGGGCUAAUACCCUCGAGGAAGGACAUCACCCACAGAAGAAGCACCGGCUAACUCCGUGCCAGCAGCCGCGGUAAUACGGAGGGUGCGAGCGUUAAUCGGAAUUACUGGGCGUAAAGCGCGCGUAGGCGGUCUGAUAAGCCGGUUGUGAAAGCCCCGGGCUCAACCUGGGAACGGCAUCCGGAACUGUCAGGCUAGAGUGCAGGAGAGGAAGGUAGAAUUCCCGGUGUAGCGGUGAAAUGCGUAGAGAUCGGGAGGAAUACCAGUGGCGAAGGCGGCCUUCUGGACUGACACUGACGCUGAGGUGCGAAAGUGUGGGUAGCAAACAGGAUUAGAUACCCCAGUAGUC
rnacentral:rRNA from 1 species